GUGGACGUAGCUCCGUUGGUAGAGCCCUGGAUUGUGAUUCCAGUCGUUGUGGGUUCGAGCCCCAUCGUCCACCCCA
rnacentral:tRNA from 1 species